UAACAUUAUAAAAAUACAAAGUAUGAAACAAAUAAUCUGUUUAUACAGAUAUUUUAAGCUGUUUUCACCAGUUCUGACAUCCCCUGUAUUUAGUAACAGAAACUUACUCAAUUCAGAUUACUCGCGCUUAAAAAAUGUUAAAUACAGUUAAUGCAAUAUUAAUCGCCCUUUGGUGAUAUAAAAUGCAAUAUUUUCAGGCAGCUAUCGAGCUUUUCUAGAGGAAGAGCUGAUGAAAACAGUCACAGCUGAAUAGUGGAGAGAAAAAAGCUCUGUAUUUAUUGCUUUUGUUUGGCUUUUGGCUACAGAGACAGGAACAUUCUAAUGGGGGCACUUGAUGACCUCGUGAACCACUCUUUAGACUUCCAGUGCUUCUGGCUUUAAUAUUCUGUGCUAGAUUCACGGAGCUCUUCUACAGAUGCUAAGCAUUCAAUCCUGAAGGCUCCACUUCAUCAUCAGGUUUUCAUCAGUCAUCAGAUGAUGAUGAUGAUGAUGCACAGAUGGUCCGCAUCAGAAGAAAUGAGAAGAUGGCUAGAGCACUAGUGGCAGCAGCUUCAUUCCAAAUUGGACCAGCUAGAGCAUAAAGAAUUUUUGAAGUCUGAUUCUACUUGUUGGUUGCACUGAUGCUGAAGAAAUGUCUUGUGCAACCUAUGAUUUUUUAGGACAUUGUCUCUUGAAGGUGCAGGGACGACUGAAGAAGCUGAAUGACCCUUGAACUUGGUGGCUCUUUACAUGUGGCAUUACCAAAGAACUCCAGCCCUAAGUGCCCAUUUUGAAACUGGCUCCCGCUUGCUGUAUCUUCCUGGCUUCCAGCUGCUUGUAUCUUUGUGACUUUAAAGUGCUUGUGAAAGGAGCUGGUGUGAUAGCAAUGGAGACUGAAAUCCCAUGUUUAUCCACAGAAUUGAUAACGACGUGGGCAAUGAAAGCUACCCCACCAAAGUGUCUCAAACACAACCUAAAGGGGCUGUCUCUAAAGUGACAUCUUUACUUCUGAGAGGAAAUAUGUGUAAAGAAGAAAAAUGUACAUCAAAAAAAGAAAUGACAUUUUCUGGCUCAUCCCAAAGUGUGUUGAACACUAAAGAGCGCAAAUUUCUUU